AGAGAGAGAGAGAGAGAGAAAAGAGAAGAGAAGAGAAGAGAAGAGAAGAGAAGAGAAGAGAAGAGAAGAGAAAUUCCACUUGGGAACUCCUAGCACUGAAUAGCUUAAAGGGACAGUGGCUCCUUUGUUACUCCUCAACAAUGAGCUGGUGUAACAACAAGAGAGAACAAGCAGAGAGAAGUCAAGGACCAUGAGAAGAGCAAAUGCAGGUGGGCUACAGGCAAAGACUUGCCUUCAUCUCUUCAGGGGUAAGGAGCAGUUGCCCAGGGAGUCUGACAAAGACGAUUAUAAUGAAAAAAAGGGGUGUAGAGAGGUAAGUAUGAAAUCAGCACACAGUUGUGAUCCUCCGUUGGACAGACUGCAAGACAGAAGUGGACACACUCAGGGCUCUUGCUUUCAGCAUACUUAAGGUGAUCAACAACCAAGGACUCAUAUACCCCAUGAAAGGAGUUUGAUUGCUUCCAGAUGGACAUGUUUUUAUUUUUACUUAUUCAGUUUACCUGUGUGUUAUCUCACCAGGGACACAAAUGUGCCUCAGAUAGACUAGAAAGACUACAGUGGAUAGUAUUUUGGAUGACACUGUAACAUCAGGUACCCCUUGGAAAACAGAAACCUUAUAUAUGCUUGUACACUGUUGUGUGGGUCUCAUGUAACUCA